rnacentral:rRNA from 1 species
AACGAACGUUGGCGGCGUGGAUUAGGCAUGCAAGUCGGGGGAAUCUCCCGCAAGGGAGGGAACCGGCGUAAGGGGCAGUAAGGCGUGGGUACCUACCCCGGGGUUCGGGAUAGCUGUCCGAGAGGGCAGGUAAUACCGGAUGACCUCGUGAGAGCAAAGAUUUAUCGCCCUGGGAGGGGCCCACGUGAUAUUAGGUAGUUGGCGGGGUAAUGGCCCACCAAGCCUGGGAUGUCUAGCAGGUGUGAGAGCACGACCUGCGCCACUGGCACUGAGACACUGGCCAGACACCUACGGGUGGCUGCAGUCGAGGAUCUUCGGCAAUGGGCGCAAGCCUGACCGAGCGACGCCGCGUGUGCGAUGAAGGCCUUCGGUU